rnacentral:pre_miRNA from 1 species
AAUGGGAUUGUUGUGUUAUAUGGUAAGGUAUAUUUAACUUUAUAAGAAACUACCAAACUGUUUUCCAAAAUUGUUGCACCAUUUUGCAUUCAUAUCAGCAAU